AACUGUUGCCUCGGCGGGGUCACGCCCCGGGUGCGUCGCAGCCCCGGAACCAGGCGCCCGCCGGAGGAACCAACCAAACUCUUUCUGUAGUCCCCUCGCGGACGUAUUUCUUACAGCUCUGAGCAAAAAUUCAAAAUGAAUCAAAACUUUCAACAACGGAUCUCUUGGUUCUGGCAUCGAUGAAGAACGCAGCGAAAUGCGAUAAGUAAUGUGAAUUGCAGAAUUCAGUGAAUCAUCGAAUCUUUGAACGCACAUUGCGCCCGCCAGUAUUCUGGCGGGCAUGCCUGUCCGAGCGUCAUUUCAACCCUCGAACCCCUCCGGGGGAUCGGCGUUGGGGAUCGGGACCCCUCACACGGGUGCCGGCCCCGAAAUACAGUGGCGGUCUCGCCGCAGCCUCUCCUGCGCAGUAGUUUGCACAACUCGCACCGGGAGCGCGGCGCGUCCACGUCCGUAAAACACCCAACUUUCUGAAAUGUUGACCUCGGAUCAGGUAGGAAUACCCGCUGAACUUAAGCAUAUCAAUA
rnacentral:rRNA from 1 species